UCAGAAGUGCGAAUGCUGACAUAAGUAACGAUAAAGCGGGUGAAAAGCCCGCUCGCCGGAAGACCAAGGGUUCCUGUCCAACGUUAAUCGGGGCAGGGUGAGUCGACCCCUAAGGCGAGGCCGAAAGGCGUAGUCGAUGGGAAACAGGUUAAUAUUCCUGUACUUGGUGUUACUGCGAAGGGGGGACGGAGAAGGCUAUGUUGGCCGGGCGACGGUUGUC
rnacentral:rRNA from 1 species